ACCUGGGCUUGACAUCCUCCGACCGCCCUGGAAACAGGGUUUUCCCGGCUCUGCCGGGACGGAGUGACAGGUGCUGCAUGGCUGUCGUCAGCUCGUGUCGUGAGAUGUUGGGUUAAGUCCCGCAACGAGCGCAACCCUUGUUCUUAGUUGCCAAUAUUUGGUUAGGCACUCUAAGGAGACUGCCUCGGUUAACGAGGAGGAAGGUGGGGAUGACGUCAAGUCCUCAUGGCCUUUAUGCCCAGGGCUACACACGUGCUACAAUGGACGGUACAAAGGGCAGCGACACCGCGAGGUGAAGCCAAUCCCAAAAAGCCGUUCUCAGUUCGGAUUGGAGUCUGCAACUCGACUCCAUGAAGGUGGAAUCGCUAGUAAUCGUGGAUCAGCAUGCCACGGUGAAUACGUUCCCGGGCCUUGUACACACCGCCCGUCACACCACGAAAGUCGAUUGUACCAGAAGUUACUGGGCUAACCCCGUUUACGGGGAGGCAGGUACCUAAGGUACGGUCGGUAAUUGGGGUGAAGUCGUAACAAGGUAACCAAGGGCGAA
rnacentral:rRNA from 1 species